UCACUACGGUGAUGAAGUAGCUCAUGCCCCGCUUCCAGGAAAAGCCUCUAAGCUCUAGAUUAUCAUUAAUCGUACCCCAAACCGACACAGGUGGUCAGGUAGAGAAUACUCAGGCGCUUGAGAGAACUCGGGUGAAGGAACUAGGCAAAAUGGUGCCGUAACUUCGGGAGAAGGCACGCUGGCGCUAGGUGAAGUGGUUUACCCAUGGAGCUGAAGCCAGUCGCAGAUACCAGCUGGCUGCAACUGUUUAUUAAAAACACAGCACUGUGCAAACACGAAAGUGGACGUAUACGGUGUGACGCCUGCCCGGUGCUGGAAGGUUAAUUGAUGGGGUUAUCCGUAAGGAGAAGCUCUUGAUCGAAGCCCCAGUAAACGGCGGCCGUAACUAUAACGGUCCUAAGGUAGCGAAAUUCCUUGUCGGGUAAGUUCCGACCUGCACGAAUGGCGUAAUGAUGGCCAGGCUGUCUCCACCCGAGACUCAGUGAAAUUGAACUCGCUGUGAAGAUGCAGUGUACCCGCGGCAAGACGGAAAGACCCCGUGAACCUUUACUAUAGCUUGACACUGAACAUUGAGCCUUGAUGUGUAGGAUAGGUGGGAGGCUUUGAAGUGUGGACGCCAGUCUGCAUGGAGCCAACCUUGAAAUACCACCCUUUAAUGUUUGAUGUUCUAACGUUGCCCCAUUAUCUGGGGUGCGGACAGUGUCUGGUGGGUAGUUUGACUGGGGCGGUCUCCUCCCAAAGAGUAACGGAGGAGCACGAAGGUUGGCUAAGCAUGGUCGGACAUCAUGCGGUUAGUGCAAAGGCAUAAGCCAGCUUGACUGCGAGAGUGACGGCUCGAGCAGGUACGAAAGUAGGUCUUAGUGAUCCGGUGGUUCUGAAUGGAAGGGCCAUCGCUCAACGGAUAAAAGGUACUCCGGGGAUAACAGGCUGAUACCGCCCAAGAGUUCAUAUCGACGGCGGUGUUUGGCACCUCGAUGUCGGCUCAUCACAUCCUGGGGCUGAAGUAGGUCCCAAGGGUAUGGCUGUUCGCCAUUUAAAGUGGUACGCGAGCUGGGUUUAGAACGUCGUGAGACAGUUCGGUCCCUAUCUGCCGUGGGCGUUGGAAGAUUGAAAGGGGCUGCUCCUAGUACGAGAGGACCGGAGUGGACGCACCACUGGUGUUCGGGUUGUCAUGCCAAUGGCAUUGCCCGGUAGCUAAGUGCGGAAGAGAUAACCGCUGAAAGCAUCUAAGCGGGAAACUUGCCUUGAGAUGAGUCUUCCCUGACUCUUUAAGGGUCCUAAAGGAACGUUUAAGACUAAGACGUUGAUAGGCUGGGUGUGUAAGCGUAGCGAUACGUUGAGCUAACCAGUACUAAUGAACCGUGAGGCUUAACCUG
rnacentral:rRNA from 1 species